AUGGGGAUAAAAAAAAAAGACAGAAUAGAAGGAUUGGACAAUAAGCAUAAGGAUUAUAUUGGUUUUACAGAUUACGUACCUAACCAAAGUGAAUUAAGUUUUUAUGAGAAAGAAAAACAGAAUAAUACAGCUAACAUAACACAAUCAAAGAAAUUAAAUAACAUAACAAACGAAACAAAUGCACAAAAUAUAUUUAAUAUGGGUUCGAACAUGGGAUUAUAUGUAAACACAAAUGUAGUAGGUAAAUCUGAAAAAAAAAUAAAUGAUGAAAACAAUAAGUUAAAUAAUAUGGUGACUUUGACGGAAACAGAAAAAGUGAAUAACUCCAAUUGGAAUGAUAAUAAUAAUAAUAAUAAUAAUAAUAAUAGUAAUAGUAAUAAUAAUAAUAAUAAUAAUAAUAAUAAUAAUAAUAAUAAUAGUAAUAGUAAUAAUAAUAAUAAUAAUAAUAAUAGUUUUUUAAAUUCAAAAAACAUAAAUGAUUUAAAAUUAAUUAAAUAUCUGAAUAAUGACGAACAAGUGAGUAUUUACAAUAAAUGUAUUGAAAAAAAUGAAACUUUAUUGAGCUUUAAAAAUUGUAUAAAUAUAGAAAAGGAUGCAAAUAAUGUAGAUGAUAAUGUUAUAGUUAGUGAUGUCAUUCACGAUAUCAGUAGAAGUAACAACAAUGUAAGUAAUAGUAGUAGUAGUAAUAAUAAUAAUUUGCAAAUAAACACAAAUAUAAAAAAAGAAACUGAUAUAAAAAUUGUAAGCAAAAGCAAUAUAAACGAAACGGACAAAUUUUUUAAUGAACAGAUUUACAAAAUGGAUACUAAUCCUACUACUGCAAUUUUCACCCCUACUGAUAAUACAAAUGUAAAAAAUAGUAAAAGCCGUAAAAAUGAUAAAAGCGAUAAAAUCGAUAAAAGCGAUAAAAUCGAUAAAAUCGAUAAAAUCGAUAAAAUCGAUAAAAUCGAUAAAAGUGAUAAAAGUGAUAAAAACGAUAAAAGCGAUAAAAGCGAUAAAAGCGAUAAAAGUGAUAAAAGUGAUAAAAUCGAUAAAAACGAUAAAAGCGAUAAAAACGAUAAAAGCGAUAAAAACGACAAA
rnacentral:lncRNA from 1 species